rnacentral:rRNA from 1 species
ACGGAGGGUGCAAGCGUUGUUCGGAAUCACUGGGCGUAAAGGGCGCGUAGGCGGUUUGAUAAGUCAGAUGUGAAAGCCCACGGCUUAACUGUGGAAGUGCAUUUGAAACUGUCAGACUUGAGUAUCAGAGGGGAAAGUGGAAUUCCCGGUGUAGAGGUGAAAUUCGUAGAUCCCGGGGGGAAUACCGGUGGCGAAGGCGACUUUCCGGGUGAAUUCUGACGGUGAGGCGCGAAAGCGGGGGGAGCAAACAG